AUUGAACGCUGGCGGCAGGCCUAACACAUGCAAGUCGAGCGGAUGACGGGAGCUUGCUCCUUGAUUCAGCGGCGGACGGGUGAGUAAUGCCUAGGAAUCUGCCUGGUAGUGGGGGACAACGUUUCGAAAGGAACGCUAAUACCGCAUACGUCCUACGGGAGAAAGCAGGGGACCUUCGGGCCUUGCGCUAUCAGAUGAGCCUAGGUCGGAUUAGCUAGUUGGUGGGGUAAUGGCUCACCAAGGCGACGAUCCGUAACUGGUCUGAGAGGAUGAUCAGUCACACUGGAACUGAGACACAGUCCAGAGUCCUACGGGAGGCAGCAGUGGGGAAUAUUGGACAAUGGGCGAAAGCCUGAUCCAGCCAUGCCGCGUGUGUGAAGAAGGUCUUCGGAUUGUAAGCACUUUAAGUUGGGAGGAAGGGCAGUAAGCUAAUACCUUGCUGUUUUGACGUUACCGACAGAAUAAGCACCGGCUAACUCUGUGCCAGCAGCCGCGGUAA
rnacentral:rRNA from 1 species